UGGAGGCACCAGUUGUAUCUCCAUCACUAACAAUCAUUACAGGAUGAGAGAUCCCAGCGACUUGCAUCUGCAAAAAUCUGUCACAUGUUAAGGUUUUUUCAAAUAUUCCUUUUAUCUUGAGGAAGAAUGCUCAUCGUUCUGCUCUUCUCUUGUCUGGCAGGCGUUUGUCUGGGUCUUGAAGUCCGUCAGUCUCCUUCUGAGGUCUUCGCAAAACCUGGCGACACGUUGCAGAUCAUCUGCAGCCACGACAAAACCGACUACAGGCAGAUGUUCUGGUACCAGCGCUCGCCGGGAGGAGACACGGCCAUGAAGCUCGUCGGAUAUUUGUACUUCAAAGACGUAACGAUGGAAGCGCCAUACGACAAGGACUUUAACAUCUCUGGGGAUUUGGGAGGAAACACGGCAAAGAAAGGCUCUCUGUUGAUGAAAUCUGUGGGACGAGGGCACAGUGCCGUUUACUACUGUGCAGCCAGUGAAGCACGGUGA